rnacentral:misc_RNA from 1 species
GAUGAAGAACGCAGCGAAAUGCGAUACGUAAUGUGAAUUGCAGAAUUCAGUGAAUCAUCGAGUCUUUGAACGCACAUUGCGCCCCCUGGUAUUCCGGGGGGCAUGCCUGUCCGAGCGUCAUUGCUGCCCUCAAGCACGGCUUGUGUGUUGGGCCCCCGCCCCCCGGUUCCCGGGGGGCGGGCCCGAAAGGCAGCGGCGGCACCGCGUCCGGUCCUCGAGCGUAUGGGGCUUCGUCACCCGCUCCGUAGGCCCGGCCGGCGCCAGCCGACACCCAACUUUAUUUCUAAGGUUGACCUCGGAUCAGGUAGGGAUACCCGCUGAACUUAAGCAUAUCAAUAAGCGGAGGA